rnacentral:rRNA from 1 species
AUUGAACGCUGGCGGCAGGCCUAACACAUGCAAGUCGAACGAGUGGCGGACGGGUGAGUAAUGUCUGGGAAACUGCCCGAUGGAGGGGGAUAACUACUGGAAACGGUAGCUAAUACCGCAUACCAUCGGAUGUGCCCAGAUGGGCUUCGCGUGUAGGUGGGGUAACGGCUCACCUAGGCGACGAUCCCUAGCUGGUCUGAGAGGAUGACCAGCAAAACUGGAACGGAGACACGGACCAGACUCCUACGGGAGGCAGCAGUGGGGAAUAUUGCAGAAUGGGCGCAAGCGUGAUGCAGCCAUGCCGCGUGUAUGAAGAAGGCCUUCGGGUUGUAAAGUACUUGCAGCGAGGAGGCGUUACUCGCAGAAGAAGCAUCGGCUAACUCCGUGCCAGCAGCCGCGGUAAUAC